AUGGUGGCGGCGGUGCCUCGGUUGCCCUGCUCCUGUGUGGGGAACUCGGGAACGAGAGUGGAACCUCCAUUGGCAAGGCACGGUCGGCUAACAGCCGUGCGGGUGGUGGAUCCGGUGUCACGGCCGCGCGGGCGGCGGGAUCCGGUGGUCGUUGGCGGCCGGCGGCGGCUUCUGCGGCGUUCGGUGUGCGCGAUUUGGCGCCUCCCUUCCUCCCCUGUUCGGCGUGCGGGCCAGCCUGGUCGGGCCACGCUUCCUCUUGGUCGCCGGUUCUCUACAGGAGGUGUUGCUGGUGGCGGAGAUCUAGUUCGGGCGAAAUCCCUGGCCGGCCAUGACUGGCCAACCGACGGCGACGCCUGUGGGCGUCGUUUCCCUCCUUGGAGGCAUCGGUAUGGACUGAUCUCCUCACUUCACCUUUCCCUAGGUUUCCUGGGCGAAAGCCCUAACUCUGUUGGGUGGCGGCGGCGCUCACGGCGCCGUUCCCUUCUUGAAGGUGCCGCUUUGGGAACCUUGGGGUUGGGUGGCGCUUGUGGGUGGUGA
rnacentral:rRNA from 1 species